UAUUUGAAAGAACUAUCAUAUCUUUGCAUCAGUGAUUGUGCAAUCUCAGAGAUUCAAUGCCAUAAUCCUUUGGAGAACCUACAACGAUUGCGGCUUUGGGAUCUUCCACGGUUGGAAACUUUACCUUCUCUAGGGACUGAAAACGGUUAGAAUGAAGCGUUGCGGGAAUUUAGACGUGGAGGCAAUUUCUUCGCUUUGCUGUGAGAAGUCUGUCGAAUUUGGGGAAGAAGACAGUGAUGUUGAAUCCGAAUCUCAGCAAGAAGACGACGAAUUUGAAUCUGAAUCUGAUGGAGAAGGCGACGAGUACGAGGAAGAAGACGACAAAUCUGAAUAUGAGGAAGAAGACGACGAAUGAGUGCACGAUCUUUUGAAAGCUUCUUGAUCCACGUUGACAAAUUGUUCCCUCGUGUUCAAGCUUUAAACGGAUUGAGGGAGCCGUGGCUAAUUAGGCAUCUGUACAAAUGAAGACUGAAUGAAGGAAAAUGAAGAUGACAUUUAAUGUCGCCUCAAUUCCCUUUCACAAUCUUGGGGCAGCAAACUGUGCAUCCAUCUGUCGAGAGACAGAAACUUGAAGAUCAGGGAGGGAAGUCGUUGCCUAAUGAUGAAAUUGUCAAAUCUGUUGAACUCGAUGUUAAGUUUCAGUUGAAUGUUUGGCAUUUUUUUCCAGAGCAGGGCAGGGGUAUUCAUUGUGAAAUUUGUAGCAUCAUAUAUAAUGUUUUUGGGGGGUAAAAGGGCUAUUUGAGCAAACCUGAUUGUUUAUUAAUCUUUUUUGUGGGGCCACAGAAUGAAUAUUGCACUUCAUCUGGAUGUGUGUUCUCUUCAUUGACAUGCAAUAGAACUUGCUUACCAGUA